rnacentral:rRNA from 1 species
ACCGGAUAAGCCCACGGAGUCUUUGGACUCUGCGGGAAAAGGGGGGGACCUUCGGGCCUUCUGUCAUCAGAUGAGUCUGCGUACCAUUAGCUAGUUGGUAGGGUAAUGGCCUACCAAGGCUACGAUGGUUAGCUGGUCUGAGAGGAUGAUCAGCCACACUGGAACUGAGACACGGUCCAGACUCCUACGGGAGGCAGCAGUGGGGAAUUUUGCGCAACGGGCGAAAGCCUGACGCAGCAACGCCGCGUGGGUGAUGAAGGCUUUCGGGUCGUAAAGCUCUGUCGAGGGGAAAGAAAUGUAUUGUGGCUAAUACCCGCGAUACUUGACGGUACCCCUAAAGGAAGCACCGGCUAACUCCGUGCCAGCAGCCGCGGUAAUACGGGGGGUGCAAGCGUUGUUCGGAAUUAUUGGGCGUAAAGCGCGUGUAGGCGGUCUGAUUAGUCUGAUGUGAAAGCCCUGGGCUCAACCCAGGAAGUGCAUUGGAUACUGUCAGACUUGAAUACGGGAGAGGGUAGUGGAAUUCCUAGUGUAGGAGUGAAAUCCGUAGAUAUUAGGAGGAACACCGGUGGCGAAGGCGGCUACCUGGACCGAUAUGACGCUGAG